AGACACACAUUGACUUUGAGAGACUAUUAGAAGAAUUAGGAUCAGAAGCAAUCAAUCUACCUGAUAUAUCACAAGGUUGGUCUGAUGGUUUGAGACGAGCAAUAGAUCAUCAAGUAAUGAUUCUGUCUCAGUCUCCAGAGACGUUUGGUACAUGACUACUGAUUAAUAAACUAAAAGAAACAAAUGAUGAUAAGGUGAUUGACGGAGUAAUUAGUGUGGGUGUGGUAUUACAAGAUUUGAUGUAUAUUAAUCAAUCAAAGUACAUACUGUAUUUCCUUAAUUAAAAGCCGCAUGCGAAUAAAUGUUGGGGUAGCAAAACUAGCAAUAGAAUUGAACUAUAAAUACUACCUUAAUACUGAACUAUAGUACUACCUUAAGUUCCUGAAGUCAAGUGCAUGAGGUCCCAGGUUCGAAUCCUGCUCU
rnacentral:lncRNA from 1 species